CAGAGUUCCAGUUGCAUGUGUCUUUCAUUGAGAUACACAAAGAAGAAGUACGAGAUUUGCUGGAUUCUGUGUCUGUUAACAAAUCAGAGACAGCAAAUGGACACAAUGGAAAAGUAACUAUUCCUGGGAAACCCCCAAUACAAAUUCGUGAAUCUUCAAAUGGUGUUAUUACAUUGGCAGGAUCCACCGAACGCAGUGUAAGAACACUCAAAGAAAUGGCAGACUGUCUGGAGCAAGGAUCACUUAGCAGAGCCACAGGCAGUACAAACAUGAAUAACCAAUCCAGUCGCUCUCAUGCCAUAUUCACCAUUUCAAUGGAGCAGAUGCGCAAGACCGGUUCUAAUGAUGGCAAUAGCAAUGAAUGCAUGACUGAAGAAUAUCUUUGUGCUAAGCUGCAUUUGGUAGAUCUUGCUGGUUCAGAGAGAGCUAAACGAACAGGAUCAGACGGUCUCCGUUUUAAAGAAGGAGUUCACAUUAAUAGAGGCCUUCUUGCACUUG
rnacentral:misc_RNA from 1 species